AAGUUGUUGCAGUUAAAAAGCUCGUAGUUGGAUUUGUGGCAGUGCUCGAGUGCCUUUUUUGGACGCUCUGAGCACAGCCAUCCUUGGGAGGAAUUCGUGUGGCAUUAGGUUGUUGCAUGGGGGAUACUCAACUUUUACUGUGAAAAAAUCAGCGCGUUCAAAGCAAGCUUAUGCUCUUGAAUGUAUUAGCAUGGAAUAAUAAGAUAGGACUUUAGUACUAUUUUGUUGGUUUGCGUAUUAAGGUAAUGAUUAAUAGGGAUAGUUGGGGGUAUUCGUAUUCCAUUGUCAGAGGUGAAAUUCUUGGAUUUUUGGAAGACGAACUACUGCGAAAGC
rnacentral:rRNA from 1 species